rnacentral:lncRNA from 1 species
UCAACUUGCUGUUGACCGCGCCCUGUGCUCCCUCUCGUGCUGCAGGAGCUCCAACCAAGGCCCGAUGCUCAAGCUGCACCACGCCGCCACCGACUGACUCCGGGAAUGGUUGGACCCGUGCUCUCCUCACCCAUUCAGCCGAUGCGCCGACGAACCAACCAGCUGCAGCAGCAGGUCCCUAUGCCUCGCUCUUCUCUUCUUCUUCCUCCCCUGCUCUCCCCCUCUUUCUGAAAAAAAUUUCUCUGAACUUGUCUGAAUCAGCAGCUGCAGGAGCCCCAUGGCUGCCGUCUCGUCACCGUGAACCUCACCGUCGGAGCCCUCCUAGCCGGAUCCGCACCCGACCGUUCCCCCCUAUCCAUUCCCGGCCUCCGAGUCCGCCAUCUUCGCCGAAGCAUCGCGCCGUCGGCCUCUGCAUCCCCGUUGUGAGCAGUCCUCCCGAUCUGAAUUCAGUCUCCUCUAGAUCCGUUCUGGCAAGGACAUGUUGUCUGUAGUGGGCACUGGUUCUGUCAACGAGUUGUAGGCUAGCUGAGUUGGCUAGCGCAGCCAACUGCUGUGAUGGAGGUCCCCGGUUCGACUCCCGUGCGCCCCAGAUUUUAUGUUUCAUUUUCUUUUGUUGUGCACCAGCUCAUAUUUGUUCCCGUCUUGGCUAGUUGAUAUACAUUCGCCAGAUUUUAUGUUUCAUUUUCUUUUGUUGUGCACCAGCUCAUAUUUGUUCCCGUCUUGGCUAGUUGAUAUACAUUCGAAUUCCUUUCAUGCUAGUAACAGAGUUUAGUGCAGUGGCUAGCAACCUUAUUUUCAAAUGAGAGGUCCAGGGAUCAAAUCCCCAUUAGUG